CCUUGCUCGCUUGUAUUACCAUAGGAGUCCUCAUUCUGACUCUAGGUAAUUUUUUCCUAGACUCAUAUUCCUCAUUUACCUCGUUAUCUCUUUUCUCUUGCACAGUCCUCUCUACGUGCUUGAAAAACCGAAGGAUGUCAAGAUCAGACUUUAGAUGGUCUUUCAAGUCACUGUUCAAGCUCUCACUUAAUUGUGUGCUUCUCAUGCCUAUAGUGUAAGCAUUCCUCAUGUAACAUCUUGCCCAUUUCUCUUUUACUUUGUAGAUGCUGUCCAACCAAGUUUGUGUAUCCACAUUGCUUCUGAUGGCAUUGAAAGCUUCUACAAAGGCUUCCUCUUCCUCAUACUUGUACAUGCAAGCACUGAAAUCAGCAAGUACAUUUGGUCCCUCCUCGUCUUUUUUCUUAUGAGGUAAGUGCCUGAUGACAUUUUGCAUUAUGUGAAAAGUGCAUAAUCCAUGCCAUGCUUCAGUAAAUACCGCCUGAACUGCAUUACCCAUUGCUACAUCUUGAUCAGUAAAGAUUGUUCUAGGUUGCUUCUUGUUAUGCAAUGAUAGGAACGUGUUGAAGAACCAUUUGAAUGACUCAAAUGUCUCAUCAUAUAAAAGUGCAGCACCAAAAAUGACCAUUUCUCUAAAAUGGUUGAAUCCAACAAACACACCGAAGGGUCUGUACUCUUUGUUUGUCCCAAAUGUUGUAUCGAAAGUAACAACAUCACCGAAAUGAGCAUAGUCAAUGAUCAUCUUUGCAUCAGCCCAAAAGAUAUUCGCUAUUUGUUCAUCGCAAUCUAGUUGCAUAUCAUAUUCAAAUGCAAGAUUCUCAUUCUUUUUAUCUCUGAAGUACUUAAGCAUACUUCCAGCUUCACCAUACAUCAAGUCCCUUUGACGCCUGGUUCGCAAGUGGUUCUUGCGAUCACGACAUGUGUAGCCAAGGUUCAGUGGACCACCAACUUGUCGACUUGCUAACUCAUGGGCUCUUUUAGGUACAAUUCCUGAAUCAUCUGCUGUUUCAAUUUCAAAUGCUUGCAAUGCCGAAAUCUUCCGUUGUGACGGCAUCAAGUGGCUUGUCCCAGGUAAUUGCAAGACAUGGUUGUGUUCAACAACUAACUCGUGCACCUCAUAAUUUUCUGCUUCUCGGACUAUAGUGAUUCCCAUUCGAACAUUGCAGCCGGUCCUUGUUUCUGCACGAGGACGCUUUGUAUUAUUAUCCCUUUUGUCCUUUCUUCUGUAGCCUUCAUUAGAACAAACAUAUCUUGCAGAAGUGAUUACUCCGUCAAGUUUGCUCUUGUUUUCAUAAUUUACCCUUACAUCAAAACCAGUAUGACCUCCAUAACAUGUCCAAAAGUUCCAAGCCUCUUUUGUGGAAUUAAACUUCAUACCAAUCUAAGGCAUCCAACUAGGAACCACAUUUGUCCUGCACAAAUUAAGCAUAACUUAUUUGUUUCUCUGCUUACACUACAAUCAUAAGAUGACAUGGCCUAAUAAGAAUUGAAUAAAAUUAUUGGUACCUGUUAGAACCUUCGUUGGUGGAGUUAAUCAUAUUCUCCAUUACACUUUGUGUUUUUUCUUUUAUAAUCUAUGAUAGCAAACUCAGUCCAUGAGAUCUUUGUUGCUGCCAACAUGAAUACAAUUGAAACAUAUGUCAUAUACUUUGAGAUUGACGUCUUUAU
rnacentral:lncRNA from 1 species